UACGAAGGGGGCUAGCGUUGCUCGGAAUCACUGGGCGUAAAGGGUGCGUAGGCGGGUCUUUAAGUCAGGGGUGAAAUCCUGGAGCUCAACUCCAGAACUGCCUUUGAUACUGAGGAUCUUGAGUUCGGGAGAGGUGAGUGGAACUGCGAGUGUAGAGGUGAAAUUCGUAGAUAUUCGCAAGAACACCAGUGGCGAAGGCGGCUCACUGGCCCGAUACUGACGCUGAGGCACGAAGGCGUGGGGAGCGAACGGG
rnacentral:rRNA from 1 species